CUGCUGUGAUGAGUUCCCACUUCAUGGUCCGUGUUUCUGAUAUCCAGUGAUUUCAGUGGAAGUUCUGAGCCU